AACGAACGCUGGCGGCAUGCCUAACACAUGCAAGUCGAACGAGACCUUCGGGUCUAGUGGCGCACGGGUGCGUAACGCGUUGGAACCUGCCCUUAGGUUCGGAAUAACUCCCCGAAAGGGGUGCUAAUACCGGAUAAUGUCUUCGGACCAAAGAUUUAUCGCCUUUGGAUGGGCCCGCGUUGGAUUAGCUAGUUGGUAGGGUAAAAGCCUACCAAGGCGACGAUCCAUAGCUGGUCUGAGAGGAUGAUCAGCCACACUGGGACUGAGACACGGCCCAGACUCCUACGGGAGGCAGCAGUGGGGAAUAUUGGACAGUGGGCGAAAGCCUGAUCCAGCAAUGCCGCGUGAGUGAUGAAGGCCUUAGGGUUGUAAAGCUCUUUUACCCGGGAUGAUAAUGACAGUACCGGGAGAAUAAGCUCCGGCUAACUCCGUG
rnacentral:rRNA from 1 species